CCUACGGGCGGCAGCAGUGGGGAAUAUUGGACAAUGGGCGCAAGCCUGAUCCAGCCAUGCCGCGUGAGUGAUGAAGGUCUUAGGAUUGUAAAGCUCUUUCACCGGGGACGCGGUACCCGGAGAAGAAGCCCCGGCUAACUUCGUGCCAGCAGCCGCGGUAAUACGAAGGGGGCUAGCGUUGUUCGGAAUUACUGGGCGUAAAGCGCACGUAGGCGGACUUUUAAGUCAGGGGUGAAAUCCCGGGGCUCAACCCCGGAACUGCCUUUGAUACUGGAAGUCUUGAGUGUGGUAGAGGUGAGUGGAAUUGCGAGUGUAGAGGUGAAAUUCGUAGAUAUUCGCAGGAACACCAGUGGCGAAGGCGGCUCACUGGCCCAACUGACGCUGAGGUGCGAAAGCGUGGGGAGCAAACAGGAUUAGAUACCCUAGUAGUC
rnacentral:rRNA from 1 species